rnacentral:rRNA from 1 species
AGAAUAAGGGUUCGACUCCGGAGAGGGAGCCUUAGAAACGGCUUCCACAUCCAAGGAAGGCAGCAGGCGCGUAACUUAUCCACUACUUCAGUGAGAUAGUGACUAAAAAUAAAAAGACCGAUCCUAUGGAUCGGUUAUUUCAAUGAGUUGAGCUUAAAUAGCUCUUCGAGGACCCAGUGGAGGGCAAGUCUGGUGCCAGCAGCCGCGGUAAUUCCAGCUCCACUAGUGUAAAUCGUCAUUGCUGCGGUUAAAAAGCUCGUAGUUGGAUCUGACUCACGUACGUUGGUUCGCCUCUGGCGUUAAUCUUCGUUGUGACUAUUUUGCUGGUUUUCUGUGGGUAACUUCGGUUCCUGCAGUGGCUAGCGAGUUUACUUUGAAUAAAUUAGAGUGCUCAAAACAAGCGAUUGCUUGAAUGCUCGAUCAUGGAAUAAUAAAAGAGGACUUCGGUUCUAUUUAUUGGUUCAAGAACUGAAUUAAUGGUUAAGAGGGACAAUUCGGGGGCAUUCGUAUCCCUGCGCGAGAGGUGAAAUUCGUGGACCGCAGGGGGACGCCCAAAAUCGAAAGCAUUUUGCCAAGAAUGUCUUCAUUAAUCAAGAACGAAAGUCAGAGGUUCGAAGGCGAUUAGAUACCGCCCUAGUUCUGACCGUAAACUAUGCCAUCUAGCGAUCCGAUGGGGCAUCUUUGCCUCGUCGGGGAGCUUCCCGGAAACGAAAGUCUUUCGGUUCCUGGGGUAGUAUGGUUGCAAAGCUGAAACUUAAAGAAAUUGACGGAAGGGCACCACCAGGAGUGGAGCCUGCGGCUUAAUUUGACUCAACACGGGAAAACUCACCCGGCCCGGACACCGUUAGGAUUGACAGAUUGAAAGCUCUUUCUCGAUUUGGUGGUUGGUGGUGCAUGGCCGUUCUUAGUUGGUGGAGCGAUUUGUCUGGUUUAUUCCGAUAACGAGCGAGACUCUAGCCUACUAAAUAGUUUCUGGAUCUUUUAGUCCAGUUAACUUCUUAGAGGGAUAAGCGGUGUUUAACCGCACGAGAUUGAGCGAUAACAGGUCUGUGAUGCCCUUAGAUGUCCGGGGCUGCACGCGCGCUACACUGGAAGAAUCAGCUGGUCUUCCAUUGCCGAAAGGUAUUGGUAAACCGUUGAAACUCUUCCGUGACCGGGAUAGGGAAUUGUAAUUAUUUCCCUUGAACGAGGAAUUCCUAGUAAGUGUGAGUCAUCAGCUCACGUUGAUUACGUCCCUGCCCUUUGUACACACCGCCCGUCGCUGUCCGGGACUGAGCUGUUUCGAGAAGAGUGAGGACUGCUGCAGCGAGGCUUCGGCUUUACUGUGACUGGAA